AUUAAACGCUGGCGGCAUGCCUUACACAUGCAAGUCGAACGGCAGCACGGGGGCAACCCUGGUGGCGAGUGGCGGACGGGUGAGUAAAGCAUCGGAACGUAUCCUGGAGUGGGGGAUAACGUAGCGAAAGUUACGCUAAUACCGCAUAUUCUGUGAGCAGGAAAGCAGGGGAUCGCAAGACCUUGCGCUCUGGGAGCGGCCGAUGUCGGAUUAGCUAGUUGGUGGGGUAAAGGCCUACCAAGGCGACGAUCCGUAGCGGGUCUGGGAGGAUGAUCCGCCACACUGGGACUGAGACACGGCCCAGACUCCUACGGGAGGCAGCAGUGGGGAAUUUUGGACAAUGGGCGGAAGCCUGAUCCAGCCAUGCCGCGUGAGUGAAGAAGGCCUUCGGGUUGUAAAGCUCUUUCGGCGGGGAAGAAAUUGCACGGGUUAAUACCCUGUGUAGAUGACGGUACCCGAAUAAGAAGCACCGGCUAACUACGUG
rnacentral:rRNA from 1 species